AAAAUUUCUUGCAGGGCUGGUUUAGUGGUCACAAACUCCUUUAAUUUUUGUGUGUCUGGGAAACUUUUUCUCUCUCCUUCUAUUUUGAAUGACAGCCUUGCUGGAUAAAGAAUUCUUUUUUUAAAAUGUUUUUAUUUAUUUUUGAAGGAGAGAGAGACAGAGCAUGAGCAGGGGAGGAGCAGAGAGACAGGGAAACAUAGAAUUUGAAGCAGGCUCCAGGCUCUAAGUUGUCAGCACAGAGUCCAAUGUGGGGCUCAAACUCACGAACCAUAAAAUCAUGACCUGAGGCAAAGUCGGACACUUAACCAACUGAGCCACCCAGGUGCCCCACUGGAUAAAGAAAUCUUGGCUGCAUAUUUUUCUGAUUCAGCACACUGAAAAUAUCCUGCCACUUCUUUCUGGCCUGCCAAGUUUCUGUGGAUAGGUCUGCUGUAAACCUGAUCUGUCUUCCCUUAUAGGUUAGGGACUUUUUUCCCCUUGCUGCUUUCAUGAUUCUCUCCUUGUCUGAGUAUUUUGUGAAUUUGACUAUGAUAUGCCUUGUUGAUUGUCGGGUUUUGUUGACUCUAAUGGGAGUGUUCUGUGCUUCCUGGAUUUUGAUGUCUGUGUCUUUCCCCAGGUUAGGAAAGUUUUCCGCUAUGAUUUGCUCACAUAACCCUUCCACCCCUAUUCCCUACCCUCUUCCUCUUCUGGGACCCCUAUGAUUCUGAUGUUGUUCCUUUUUAAUGAAUCACUGAUUUCUCUAAUUCUUAAAUCGUGCUCUUUUGCCUUAAUCUCCCUCUGUUUUUCUGCUUUGUUAUUCUCUAUAAGUUUGUCCUCUGUAUUGCUGAUUCUCUGUUCUGCCUCAUCCAUCCUUGCCACUGCUGCAUCCAUCCGUGAUUGCAGCUGUUAUAGCAUUUUUUUUAUUUCAUUCUGGCUGUUUUUUACUUCUUUUAUCUCUGCAGAAAGGGAUUGUAAACUAUUUUCAACUCCAGCUAGUAUUCUUAUUAUUGUGAUUCUAAAUUCUGGUUCAGACAUCUUUCUUGUAUCUGUGUUGGUUAAAUCCCUGGCUGUCGUUUCUUUGUGCUCUUUCUUUUGGGGUGAAUUCCUUCGUUUUGUCAUUUUGAAAGGAGAAAAGGAAUUGAUGAGGUAGAAAAGUUGAAAUAAAAAAAUUAAAAUUAAAAAAAUAUUAAAAUUAGAAAUUAAACACACACACACACACAAAUAUCGAAUAGAUGAUGCUAGAUCCUAGGUGUGUUUUGGUCUGGGUGUUGAAAGUGUUUUGACACAUUAGAGAAAAAAAAAGGUGGGGAGAGGAAAAAAAAGGAAAUCAUUUGAGAAUUUGAAAAAAUGAAUACACUGAGGUAGACUAAAAUGAGAUGAAAGGGGUAAAAUAGAAUUUGAAAAAAUAUACACAAAAGUAAAGAAUAUAGUAGAAAAAAUUAAAGAAAAAUAUUUUUAAUAAAAUUUAAAAAUAAAUAUGAAUUUUUUCACUUUCUGUAAUUAAGAAAAAAGAAAAUAAAUGAAAGAGAAAAAAGAUUAAAAAAAGGAAAAAAGAAAAGAAAAGAAAAAAAGAAUUCAUUUGAAAAUUUGAAAAAGGAAUACACUGUGUAUACUAAAAUAAAAUGAUGGAAGUAAAAUAGAAUUGGAAAUAUUUACAUAAAAACAAAAAAUAUAGUAAUACAAAUUAAACAAAAAUAUUUUUAAUAGAAAUUGAAAGUAAAAAUGAAGUUUUUCUCUUUCUGCAUUUACAAAAAAGAAAAGAAAUGAAAAAAAAGAAAAAAAAGGAAAUUGUUUGAAAACUUGAAAAGGUGAGUACACUGAAGUAGACUAAAAUAAAAUGGUGGAAGUAAAGUAGAAUUUUUAAAAAUUUACACAAAAGUAAAAAUAUAGUAAUAAAAAUUAAAGAAAGAUAUUUUUAAUAAAAAUUGAAAAUAGAAAUGAAUUUUUUCUCUUUCUGUAUUCAAAAAAAAGAAAAGAAUUGUAAAAGAGAAAAAUGAAAAGUAAAAAAGAAAAUUGAAUAGAUGAACCUGCUAACAGAUUGAAGUAGGACUGAAAUUGCUUCGUUUUCCCCUAGAAGUCAGACUACGUAGCUCUUUAUAGUCCAUAAAUUAAGAUAGCGGUGAGACUUGUGUUCUUGAAGAGCGAAGUUGGCCCAGUUAGGCGGGGUUUAGUGUAACAGCUCCGCUCUCCACUAGAUGGCGCUGCUAGCCUACUGCGGUGCUUGCAGGUGUGUAUGCGCAUGCGCGGGAGUGGUGAAAAUGGCGUCAGCCCUCUACCCAGUCUGUUCUCCCGGAUCAGCAAUCGCGCACCCGUCAUCGGUCUUCGGCUUUUGUCCACUCACAGCUUUUUCACUCUCCGUGACCAGGCCCCAGGCAGUACCUCUCUCCCGAGUUUUGUCUCAGAUGCGGCUGUUUUCCCCAGCCCCUCACUUCUGAAGGACUGCGGCUUUGACCCUUUCCGCUCCGCUGCGGGAGGGUCUCACCGAGCAACGGCCGAAUGAGCAAUGGCUGAAUGUUGGCUGCACCCAGGAACGCCCUCUGGACCCUGCUGCUGCUGGUGCCCUGAGACUGCAGCCAGGUGCAAGCCUACUCCAGAAAGAGUUUGCGAGACAGUGUAGCAGCAGCGCCUCAGGGAUUAUGGAAAAUCACAACACACGUCUGACACCAGGCUUCACCCUCAACGACCUGGUUCCAGCACCAGUGAUUGUGGCCAUUUUCUGGGGUCUGCUGGGACCAGGUGGCUUCAACAGUCUCUACCAAAUGUCCUUCCAGCAGUGGGACUGCUUUUCCCCGUGUGGCCCGAGAACCUCCCGACUCCCACUCUGUUCCUGGGGAUUUGCCCUUCCCACCAGAGCACCGCCAGUGAGGGCCAUAAGGGAAAACUGCAUGUCCACAGCACAAGCUUCUCAUUUCCCUGAAUGGACUCGAUGCUGGGGUUGUCAGACACCCUGGGAAGAUGCUACACCUGGACAUGAAGCAAGGACCUCAGACUGGAGACAUGGAGAAUUCCCAGGAGUUGGACAUGAAAUCUGAGCCAGGGGCAUACACAAAAGUUGCUCAUUUAUGGAAGUGGCUUGGCCUCAACUCUAGAAGCAUGGAAGGACCCAGGCAUUGAAAUGCACUACAGAGGAGCCUGAACAUGGGUAUGGCUGAGUGUCUGACUAUAGCCACAUCUAACAGCACGUCAAAGUUCUACUCUCCUGUUAUUCCCAAUGUAUGCAUUGGAAAACCUCAACUGUGGCUUUGAUUAUAAGGAUUGUAGAUAAUCAGCAUAUGUGUCAGAUUGAUGUUUUGGCAGCAUGAAAAAGUAAGGUGCAAACCCUGGUUACCCAAGGCCAGGAUGUCACUUCACUUCCAGGUUGAUUUCCUAAAUGAAAUGGUCUAAGCAUGAGCUAGAUGCUAUAUACCUCUGUGGUGGGAGGGAGGCAGUUACUGAAAAGUUAACCUGGAAGGUGUUGCUGGAAAACAAGGUAAGUCAAUAAACUGGGCCAAAGGAGACAGAAGAGCUUCCACUCUCUUUGGCUAACACAAGUCCUGUAAGAAAAAAAAAUCAUCAAGUAUCUUUCAAUUUUCAUGUAAUGAUAGAGAAUUUACUCACCUCCUUAAGAUGAAAGCCACAUUAUUAACUUACUUAUCUCAUAUUUUAAAUAGAUCAUGAGAAUCUGCAGAAAAAUUUUUAAGGGUCACAAGAGAUUCAAAAUAAAAGGUUAACAAGCCAUGAGAAGAAAUCAAAGUAGAAAUAUCUCAAAAGCUAUUGAACAGAAGAAAUAGCAACUGUCAAGCUCUCCAAGUGAUGAGCAGUCUGUCUUUUUACUAUAAAUAAUUCUUCUAACCAGCAGCCUUCAUAACUAUUCCUCAUUAUGGAGAAUGGCACAUAAUCCAGUAUCAAAUUUUGCCUUUGAUAAUAUACAAUAGAACUGAUUAUUGUCUGCCUAAUUCUAUGAAGUAAAGCCACAGAGAACCUGAUGACCAUUUGAUAGCUCUUUUAGAACUUGACAGUUGAGCUAGCUUUUGUGUGGACUAAACAACUCCUGUGUGGGGAGAGGAGCAGGGACCUUCAUAAAUUCAAAUGACUGACAGUAUUGUUCGAAUAGAAAAGUAUCAUCCAUGUGUGGAGGGGAUUAAAAGUAGAAUUUAGAAGUCCCUAGCAGCAAUCUCAAUCUCAAAAUAAGAAAAUACAAAGGAAAAUGUAAAAAAAUGAGUGCUUUAUACUGAUAAAAUAUUUAAUUGGUUAAAUUUUUAUAAUAUAUAUGCUGUGUAACACUGCACCAUUUAUAUGGUGUGAAGAACUUAUAAUCAAUCCUUCAAGACAUAAAACAGGAUUCUCUUUUUGCAUAUGCUGUACCUUACGCCUAGAAUAUUCUUUCCUUUUGUGUUUAGCUGGCUGAGGACUACUCAUAUGUCCAGAGAAUUUCCAUUGUCUUUUCCUCAGAAUGCCAUCUUGGAGACGAAUAUAAAAAUAGACAGUGGCCAGAACAUACAUGACAACAAAACUCUAACCCACCAGCCCAGGAAGCCAAACCUUAAUCUCUCAACAAUGGGCACCAAACAAUCAGGACUUGGGCAUGACUGCCAGCUUCCUUAUCUUUUUGUCCUUGCUUCUAACUCAUGGCCAGUAAGAAAAAGCCAAAGAUGUUCCCAAAAUUGAUCACAUAAGAUGCUCUGUUUCCAGCUAAUUCACCUCCAGCUUCCCCAUGCCAAUAGCCUCCUGUCAGAGCAUACAUGAAACCUUCCACUUUUUUGUAUGACUUCCCCACACCACACCCCUUUCUGCUUUUGAGUUUCUGCCAAGCACAAAUGAUGGCUGAACCCCUUUUUAACAAGUUCAGAGUACAUAGCUUUUGUUUGUUCUCAUUUGUGUAGUUCAUUUAUUUCCAUACAUCCCUGAAUUUCCUCUUCUUAGCAUCAGUACCAAAGGACUUAAUUAUAAGUCACCUUCACAAAUAAGGUUGGCUUUUGUCAUAGAACGACAAUGUUUCUCACUUUAAUAAGGAUUCAGUAUAAAUUCAACAGAUCUGGUCUAUAUCUUCAUUGGAGUAUUUUAGUUUUCCACAAUAGAUUGUCAGAUAUAUACCUAAUUAUUUCAAUUUUUGGUGCUAUUGCAUACUAUAGUCUUAAGUUACAAUUCCCAACUGUUCAUUAUUAGUAUAUAGAAAUAUGAUUGGUUGUGUCCUAUGACUUUUCUAAACUCGUUAAUUAGUUCAAGGAGUUUUUUAUAGAUUUCUUAGAUUUUUGUAUGUACUACCAUAACAUACUAGAGUGAUUCAGAUUUUUUUUAUGGUAUCCUUACUGAUUUUCAAAUCAGAUGUGGGAGAAAGUAUUUUAGCCAAUCAAUUUCAAAUACAUGUAGAGCAAUAAAUGUUUAAUGAAAAGUUCCUUUCUCUAUGUUCUUUUCAUUUCUCUAAGGUGUUCUUAACUUAUAAUUUCAAGAUGUGUCCUGUGUUUAUGGAAUGGGAGAUUAAAUAUCAAUAUUAAUAUCACUACCAAUUCUCUCUAAAUGAUCUAUAGAAUUAACUCAAUCCCCAAAAUAUCCUUGAAGAUUAUUUUGUAGAUAUCAGCAAGCUUAUUCUAAAACAUAAGUGGAAUGACAAAUGAAUUAGAAUAGCCAAAACAAUUUUUUUAAGAGGAAAAAUGUUGUAGGACUCAUACACUGCUGCUGGUAAUGAAAAAUGGUACAACUUUGGGUGGUAGUUUGUCAGUUUCUACAAAGUUAAAUAUAUAAUUUAACAUAUGACCCAGCACCCUGCGCCACAAGUAUUCACUCAAGGGAAAUGAAAACUUAUAUUCACACAAAAACCUGUAUGUGAAUGUGUCAGCAGCUUUGUUCAUCAUUGCCAAAAACUGAAAACAAUAGAAUUGCCCUCCAACUGCUAAAAGGAUAAAAAAGCAUGAUACAUCCAUUAAUGGAAUACUACUCAGCAAUAAAACGUAACAAAUAUUCAACAAUAUAGAUGAAUCUCCAUGUAUUAUGUUAAGUGAAAGAAACCAGACUCAAAAGCUACAAAUCAAACUCAAAAUGAUUUCAUUUAUAUGACACUCUAGAAAAGAAAAAACUAUAGGUAGGGGGAACAGAUCAAUGACUGUCAUCGAUUAGUGGUUAGGAAGGAAUUGGCUACAGGCAGUCAGAUUUUGAUAUUGAUGAAAUCUUCUAUAUCUUGAUAUCAUGAUAGUUGUGUAACUGUAUGCAAUUGUCAAUGCUCAUGGAAUUUUACAACAAAAAAGUAAGUUUUACAGCAUUAAAUUUAAAACUUAAACUAUUUAUCUUAAACUAAUAACAGGUAUGUAGGACAAAGAAAGAGGAAGAUGAUUUUACUACACUGGAUUCUGGUCUUGGUCCACUUAAAAUAAAUAAUCUAGUCUGAAUGCCAUGUUUAAGAGUCAUAGACAAAAUAGUAAGUUUUGGGCUUAGAGACUCCAAGGUGUAAAAAUGGUCUCCAUUCUAUACUUCUUAUGGGACAUGUUUUUAAUAAACAACUUUAGUCAAAUGGAAGAAUCUGUCCUGAGCGAUACGGUUCUCUAUCACUGAAUGAUCAAAUAACUUAGUCUGAGCAACUACUCUGUGGGAAGCUGGAGAGAGGAGACCUGAUGGCCUUUAAAUUCCCCCAAAACCUGAGAUUCCAGUAUUCUAUCAACAUGGGAUCAGUGGGGCUGAGGGGUUAAGGUGGAGGAGUAGCCAGAGGACCUAUGCUUGCUUUGUCUCUCAAGCACAGCUAGAUAAUUAUCAAAUCAUUCUAAACACCCAGGAAAUUGAUAUGAGGACUGAGAAAACAAACUGCAUACCUAGAAGGAGAAAGGGGCCCACAUCUUGGAAGAUAGGAGGUGCGGUGAUGUGAUUUAGGGAAGAAACAAAUCGUGAGUGCUGCAGAGGGGAGGGAGCCCUGAUCACAGGGAGGAGAGAGAGAAUAAGAGAAAGAGAGAUAAAGCAGCAUGUAGAGAUCUGCACAAGAAAAACACUUCCCAAAAAACCACUGACUGGGAAAACGAAAGGAGCUAAUUAUCACAAGUUUUUACAAGAAGCCGUCCUGAAAGUCUGAAGUUUUAGAAGUCUGUGCCAUUACCAGGAUUGAGUCUGGUGGGCAUAGUGGUGCUCCUCUGGAGAAGGAGGGCAGAGAACUAGGUGUGGACAGCAUGUUCUGAGGACCCCUUCUGUCACGCUGAGAGAGACAGUUCCCCUUCCUGGAGUGCAUUUGGGAGAGGGGGCCUCUCAGGGGACAAUAGAGUCAGCAGGUGCCAUUGAGCUGCCCUGUUCAUUCGCAUACAAGUAGAGACACCUGCUGAGGGAAGCUAACCUAGAUGCCAGCUUUUUACUACACUUUAUCAUACAAUCCAAGCUCCUGUGUAGUCAUGCGACUGCUUUUCUGGGACAAACCAGUACCAGCCACUGCACAGCGAGACCCUCCCCCAGAGGAUCAGCCCAGGUGCACACUGUACCAGGUCUCUAAAAUUUGGAGUUUUGAAACCCAGCCCCAAGCCUGGGAUAAAACACAGGAGCAUUGUACCAUCACUGGGUGGGAAGAUGGCAUGGAUACAGACAGGGUGAAGGUAGGGAUCUAAUGGAAGCCUGGGACACAAGAGGGUAGGUUGUUCAUUCUUCUGUGAAGGCUUCCUGAAUAGCAGCGAGCUCAAAUUCCCCUCUCCAGAGAAGAGAGCGGACAACACCAUUCUUCAUUCUUCCCAUCAACACAGAGAGACUUCAAUGAGUGGCACAGCACACAGAGUAGAGGCUUGAGCUACUUACACCAAGCCCUGCCCCCUGGGUUCUGCAGGUAUCUUUUUUACUAGGGCAAGUGUGAUUGACAGCCAGAAUAGCAGCAGGCCCCUCCCCCAGAAGACCAGCACAACCCCUUCCCCCCACCCCCUGUAUGCAUCAGGUUUAUUGAUCAUAGAGUGCUGCAAAGCUUCAGCUUCAGUGGAAAUAGAACCAGGCACAGGCUUUCCUAACACAAAAGACAGAGACCUAGACAAAAUGCCAAGAUGGAGGAAUUCAUUCCAAAAGAAAGAACAAGAAGAGGUCAUGGCCCAGGUGCUAAUCAAAAUAAAUAUAAGUAAUAUGACUGAAGCAGAAUUUAAGGCAACAGUUAUAAGGAUAUUAGCUGGGCUUGAGAAAAAACAGGAGAGAACAGAGAGACCCUUACCUUAGUGAUAAAAGACCUAAAAACUAGUCAGGCCAAAAUAAGAAAAUGCUAUAGCUGAGAUGCAAAACUGACUGAAUGUAACAACCACCAAGAUGGGAGAAGCAGAAGAAUGAAAAAGUGAUAUAGAAGAUAAAAUUAUGGAAAAUGAUAAAGCUGAAAAGAAGAUGGAAAGAAAAAAUAUUGAAUCAUGAAUGUAGACUUAGAGAACUCAGAGAUUCCAUAAAGUGUAAUAACAUUCAUAUCAUAAAAGUUCCAGAAGAAGAAGAGAGGGAAAAGAGGAAGAAAGUUUAUUUGAGCAAAUUAUAGCUAAAAACUUCCCUAAUACAGAGAAAAACAUCCAAAUCUAGGAGGCAUAGAGAACUCCCAUCAAAAUCAAUAAAAGCUGGCCAACACCAAGAUAUAUCAUAGUAAAAUUUGCAAAAUAUAGAGAUAAAGAAAGAAUCCUGACAGCAACAAAGGAAAAGAAAUCCCUAGUCUACAACAGAAGACAAAUUAGGUUAGCAGCAUAUCUCUCCACAGAAACCUGGCUGGUCAGAAGGGAGUGGCAUGAUAUAUUCAACAUGCCAAAUGGGAAAAAUGCAACCAAGUGUAUUUUAUUUAACAAGGCUAUCAUUCAGAUUAGAAAGAGAGAUAAAGAGUUUCCCAAACAAACAAAAAUUAAGGACUUUGUGACCACUAAACCCAACCCUGCAAGAAAUAUUAAAGGAGACUCUCUGAAUGAAAGAAAGACCAAAAGCAACAAAGAUUAAAAAGCAACAGAGAAAAUCUCCAGAAACCAUGACUUAACAGGUAAUACAAUGGCACUAAAUUCAUACCUACCAAUAAUCAUCACUAUGAAUAUAAAUGGACUAAAUGUUCCAGUCAAAAGACAUAAGGUAUCAGAAUGUAUAAAAAAAACAAGAUCAUCUAUGGCUGCCUACAGGAGACUCAUUUUUGACCUGAAGACACCUACAGACCGAAAGUAAGGGGAGAACUAUCUACCAUGCUAAUGGACGUCAAAAGAAAGCCAGAGUAGCCAUACAUGUAUCAGACAAACUAGAUUUUAAACCAAAGACUGUCAUAAGAGAUGAAGAAGGACAUUAUAUCAUAAUAAAGGGGUCUAUCCAACAAGAAGAGCUAAUACUGUAAAUAUUUAUGCCCUUAACAUGAAGGAAACCAAAUAUAUAAAUCAAUUAAUUAAAAAAAAAUAAACUCAUUGGUAAUAGUACAAUAAUAGAAGGGGACUUUAAUGCCCCAUUAUAGCAAUGGACAGGUCAUCUAAGCAGAAUAUCAAUAAAGAAACAAAGGCUUUGAAUGACAUACUGGACCAGAUGGUCUUAACAGAUAUAUUCAGAGAAAUUCAUUCUACAACAGAAGAAUACAUAUUUUUUUUGAGUGCACAAGGAACAUUCUCCAGAAUAGAUCACAUACUGGGUCACAAAUCAGGCCCCAACAAGUACAAAAAGAUUGAGAGCACACCAUGCAUAUUUUCAGACCAUAAAAUAUGGUCUUUUCUUGUGGUUGACUAUCACAAGAAAAAAUUUGGAAAGACCACAAAUACAUGGAGGUUAAAGAACAUCCUACUAAAGAAUAAAUGAGUUAACCAUGAAAUUAAAGAAGAAAUAAAAAAAUACAUGGAAGCAAAUGGAAAUGAAAACACAACAUUCUAGAAACUUUGAGAUGCAGCAAAGGUGAUCCUAAGAGGGAGGUAUAUAGCAAUACAGGACUUUCUCAAGAAGCAACAAAAGUCUCAAAUACACACCUAACCCUACACCUAAAGGAGCUAAAAAAAAAGAAUAGGAAAUAAAGCUAGAGCCAUGAGUAGAGGGGAAAAAAUAAAGAUCAAAGGCAGAAAUAAAUGAUAUAUAAACAACAACAACAAAAAAAAAAACCCACAGCAAGACAGAUCAAUAAAAUAAGACCUGGUUCACUGAAAGAAUUAAUAAAAAUUAAUAACCCCCUAGCCAGACUUAUCAAAAAGAAAAGCGACUGAUGAAUGAAUAAAGAAGUGGUAUAGUUUCACCAUUAUUUCCAUCCCUGUUUUACUGUAUGGCUAUUUUAGAUAACUUGAAUUUCUCUCAACAAAUUACUUUCAUUUUUGACAGGCCAAAAUGACCCAGCUUAGUUCUAAGGUAGAAUAAUCAAAAUAAGUGGAGGAACCAAUAUUUUAGGAAUAAGAAAAAUACUCCCCAUAAGCAAGGUUACUCUUUUUGUACUUUCCAUUCUCAGACUGUGUUAAAACAUUUAAUUUAUUUAGCAUAAAAUAUAUAAACAUAAACAAUGUUAUUCUCUGUCUUCCCUUUCACAUUUAGCUUUUCUUUAACAUGCUAAGGGUUGCCAUCUGUUUGAUUCAGUAAAUUAUCAUGUUACACAUGAUUGAUUAAUUAAAUCUUGACUCAGCAAUUUGGCUAUCAUUUUUUUUUUCAAAGAUAAUUUUACUAUCUUUUACUAGAGAUAGUUUUCUAUCUCUCUUAAGAAUAGAAAAGCUUCUGGGGCACCUGGGUGGCUCAGUCAGUUGAGUGUCCGACUUCGGCUCACGUCAUGAUCUCACGGUUUGUGAGGUCUAGCUCCACGUUGGGCUCUGUGCUGACAGCUCAGAGCCUGGAGCCUGCUUCAGAUUCUGUGCCUCUCUCUCUCUCUUUCUCUCUCUCUCUCUCUCUCUCUCUCUCUCUGCCCCUCCCCCACUCACACUCUGUCUCUCUCUCCUUCAAAAAUAAAUAAACAUUAAAAAUAAUAAUAAAAAAAAGAAUAGAAAAGCUUCCAAUGUGAGAAAACUCUCUGAGGACUUAAGCAGCAUAGAAAUCUCAGAAAAUGGACAAUAAUUAUAAUCUCCUCAGGUUUUACAUAGAGAACCAAGAUUGGUCUCAAGACUGGUCUUUAUAGUUCUAGACCCACUCAGCAAAAAAAAUUCACCAACAUUUUAAAAGCCAUUCAUGGGGUUCACAGACACCUUGAAGCUUUUUUUAAAAGGAUGUAGAGAGGGAUGCCUGGGUAGCCUCUGACUUCGACUAAGGUCAUGAUCUCACAGUUUGUGGGAGUCUAGAGCCUGCUUCAGAUUCUGUGUCUCCCUCUCUCUCUGUCCUUCCCCCACUUGUUUUCUCUCUCUCUCAAAAAUAUAUAAAUAAACAUUUAAAAAAAUAUAAAGGAUAUAGUGAAACAGAAACGGGCCCUUUCAUUUGGCUUUUAUAGCUCUACACAUAAGAAUUUGAAAAUGAGUAGUCCAGAAUAAUUUCUCCGGCACCCAAGCUGAAAGUCGGUAAGGAUACUGACAAAGAAGACUGAAUCACUCUGGUAUUUUUCUGGAAAUAAAUAGUAGAAUGACAGCUGGUUAUAAAAAGACUUUCAAUGCAGAAACUCUGAGGACAGUCAUUUCAAACAAAGUUUCUUUCUGUCAGGGUGAGACGUAAUGGUCAUGUUUUAUGGGCCUACCACGGCCAGUCAUUUAGAAUUCUUUCUACUUAAUCACAUCUCUGAUUGCUUGAUUGUUGUUACUGUUUGCACUGCAGUUUCUUUACUCCAACAAGUAAGAUGUCAUUUCCCUUCUUUAUUCAUGUUGGCAUGGACCUUCUGGAGUGGAAUGUUGUCCUGGCACGCAAUCACUGCUGCACAACAGAGAUGCGUGGCAUUUAUAAAACAUCUCUCAUAUGCAGGGUUGUAUAUCCAAAUUGUGCACCAUCUGGGUUAAUACAAAUAAAGUUGCAAUAAAUCAUUCGACGCAUUGUGGAAUUUUAUAUAAAUCCAUAUGAAUUUUUUUUUUUACUUACCACAUGGAUGUUUUCCAAUAGAUCUAUGGCACUAUAAAUUCAAGUAAGUUUAUUUGUUAAUAAUCCCAUGAUUAUAGCUUCGUUUGUUAGUUGUUUUAUGCCUCAUAUAAAAAUGUCAUUUUUUUAUUGCUAGCAAGGGAGUCUUGAUUCAAACCAUUUAAUACAUUGCCUUUUGUGCAGAUGGGUUUUGUCCAUCCACUGUGCGUCAUCAUGUCUGAAUUCCAGGGUAAUAGCAAUUUUAACAAUAUGCCUAAUGAUAAAAAACUAUGUUAUAUGUUAACUGAGUUUCACCUUUAUGCAAUUAUGACAUAUACAUGUUCCUUUCUUCCUCUUACAACAAAAGAAGUAUCCUCCAGGUUCAGAAAACUUGAAAGGAAUGGAUUUAUUUUUAACUUUCCCAAUUAUCUUCCAAGGGAAAUCCAAGGGCAAUACUUCAUAUACAAAGGAAGUACACAAGAAAAGACAUUGGGGUUUGAGGGGGUGGGAGCAGACAAGUCACUUGCAACUCUGCUCAACUGUAAAUGAAUUAAAAUGGACCUUCUUAUUUAAUGUCCUUCUCUUCCAACCACUUUGACUUCACAGGAAGCCCCUCCUCAGACAGUUCAGAAUCUUGCUGAAUACUGAUUAUGAAUGGAUCUGAAAGUAAAUUACGCUAAAAGGACAAAUGAGGGAUAGCAUCAUCACAUAAUACUUUCCUUGGGUGUUCCUCUAUUCUUAAAGUUUGGUGAAAUUACUGGUGUAUGUCUGUCUUCCGUACUAGACUAUAAACUUGGUGUCUUUGGAAUGGCAUAUAUUGAUCACAUAAAACAACAAAAGCUAUUUAACCAAAAUGAAAAAGGGGGAGUUAUUAUUACAGGCAACAAGGAAAUCUAGGGAAACGUAAUUGCGAGCCAUGCCUUACAGGAACCUCUGUAGGUGUUAUGAUUCCUACACACAACUGUCUUCUCUUCCCACCCACAGAACAUGUGGUCUUUGUUUCAUAUUUUUGUUCUGCUUCAUAUUUUUGUUCUGCUUCAUUCUUUCAGUCCUCCAGAGGAGUAGAACAAAUAUUAUCACACCAGUUUACAAAUGUCUAAGGUCAGACAGCUGCUGAAAUCAGAAACUAGAUUUUUUGAAUUUCAGCUGUGUGCCCUUGUUUUGACCCUGUAGCUGUGUUCAAAAUGUGAGGGACAGUGCUUCAGGAAUCGCUAUUAGCCAAGAGUUAACUGUGGUAAAGGAAGGAACAGUGGAGUGAAUACUAAUGCUCUUGAUUGGAAUUUCAAUUCUGCUAUGUACUAUCUGGCUGGUGGAGGGGUGAAUCUCUUAACCCCAAGCUUCAGUGUCCUCCUCUGUUAAAUUAGGGGAAAUAAUACCUGCCUUUUGCACCCAGAAUUUUGGCCUUAUCGCAUAAAGUAAUGUAUGGAAGCAUUCUAAAUCAAAAUAUGUAGACACAUGUAAACUGUUAACUACCUAUACUGCUUCUUAAAAGAAGUCAUAUUUAUAAUUCUUUGCUAUUACAUUGUUCAUUCACUUUCUGAAAUCCUUGUACCUUUCUCUAUCCACCCUUCCAUGUCUUGAUCUCAAAUCUGGAGAAAAAAAAAGUAAAGCUUUUCCACAUUUAA